CCUACGGGAGGCAGCAGUGAGGAAUAUUGGUCAAUGGUCGGGAGACUGAACCAGCCAAGCCGCGUGAGGGAUGAAGGUACAGAGUAUCGUAAACCUCUUUUGUCAGGGAACAAAGGCGGGGACGUGUCCACGGAUGAGUGUACCUGAAGAAAAAGCAUCGGCUAACUCCGUGCCAGCUGCCGCGGUAAUACGGAGGUGGCGAGCGUUAUCCGGAUGUAGUGGGUUUAAAGGGUGGGCAGGCGGUCUGUUAAGUUAGCGGUAAAAGCCCGGGGCUAAACCUCGGUCCGCCGUUGAAACUGGCAGUCUAGAGUUGGAGAGAAGUAUGCGGAAUGCGCGGUGUAGCAGUGAAAUGCGUAGAUAUCGAGAGGAACACUCGUGGCGAAGGCGGGUUCCUGGACAUUAACUGACGCUGAGGCACGAAGGCCAGGGGAGCGAAAGGGAUUAGAUACCCUGGUAGUC
rnacentral:rRNA from 1 species